ACAAUAGGUUCCUUAUGUGACAUAAGAAAGUAUUUUGGAAAUUCCUUUCCUAGGGGCCUAAACAGAGGAUGAAAAUCCGUAAUUUUUCAAGUCUAUUCUAUUUCUAUUAAUAUUCAUGCUUGGGCUUUUGCUUAAAAAUAAAGAAAUACAUGUUACAGUGGUUUUAGAA